rnacentral:lncRNA from 1 species
UCUUCCUUAAACAUCUGUUGUUUCAUCAAUGUGAGACAUGCUAAAUGUAAUUAGUAAUUUCGAUUAUUCCUUGCCGGUUAAUGAUGCAAACAGUGUUGACCCUUACCUAUCAGAUAAAAAUAUACAGUGUAAAUGGGGUUUCACCGUGUUAGCCAGGAUGGAGAAGUCUCAAUCUCCUGACCUCGUGAUCCCCCUGCCUCGGCCUCCCGAAUGAUUAACAGGGGAAAAGGCAUAUAAAUGUAUUAAUGUGCAGAAGCACAGGGGCCACACAGUAUAUGAGACUCAGAGAACUGAAACCACCUUGCAAAGGUUAUGAUGGUUAGAGAAAUCUAACACAGCUGAUUUUAUCUUGCUUCUGACCCCACAGGCUGACUGUCUGCUCAUUCCUGGGUGUAGGUCAAGCUAACUAAAAAGGAGUUUAGUUUACAGUUUAACUUUAAAGCAAGGAUGAUAAUAGUCCCUUCCUGAAACUGGUCCCCUUCUUGCUUGGGAACUGAAACUGCCUUUGUAAAACUAAUGAAAGGCAAUAAGAUUAGAAUUAUGAUAAGGGCUUGAAUUCUGCUAAGCAAUAAGCACAGUGAAGAAGAGAUAACCAGCCAUUGUUCCCUAGCUUGGUUACUGCUGGAGGUCACAAGAUUUGAGAUAACAUCACCAUUGUAAACCCUAAGAUGGGUUUUUGAGAUAUUUUUCAGACCUUUGCAUUCUGGUAAACUGACUGAUGCCAUCUGGACCAUGACUCAUACCAAGGAACAGACUCAACUCGUCCUGUGACCCCCACCUAGAAACUGACUCAGCACGUGAAGACAGUUCCAACACUCCAGUGAUUUCAUCUCCAACCAAUCAGUAGC